AUGGGGCUUGGUUUGUGCUGGAGGGAUGAAUUGAAAAAUGCUAACCAUGUAGCUGCUGUGGCUUCAGGUCUAUGUCAGGUAUUGGGAAAAUGCUGAGAAGGCUGUAGACCCUCAAAGAGUUUGGCAGGCAUGUUAGAAACCAUAAACCUGGUAAUAAUGACGAACAAGCACUAUUCGAAGUUUAUAAUAAGGCCUAUGUUUAAUGAGAUAGCAGUAGAGCUCCUCAGUGAGACAAAGAGACCUGGAGAAUUCAAGGAAAUUUCCACAGAAGACAGGUAGGCUUAGCUGAUUAUUAAGAGUGCAUAGUUUUUGGACUUAGAUAAUAAUAAUAAUUGAAGAUCAGAUUGAAAGGGAAAGGCGAAUGAGGGAGGAGGAGAACAAAGUUGUCAAGAUAUCGGUGGCCUUUACCUACAUUUACUGUCAUCCAGUGCUGUUCAAGGUUUUUCUUAAAUUACAAAGGUUUUAUGCUAUCUGUUCUUAUUGUUUUAUUUGUUUAUUAUAGUUGGAAACUGUGGUAUUGAUGAACAGAUUUCCCCCAAUUCCACCUGUGAGUCCUAGAUUUGGGAAAAUCCGAAAUAUUUCCUUACUGGUUACUCCAGCCAUUGCAAAUGGAGAAAUUGGCUUUACUAGCAAUCUUCCGAUCAUUUUGCAUGAACCAGAAGGUUCUGCGACUGAAGUGGUAUACAUUUCUCUGCAUCGGGAUGGAACUGAUGGCCAGGCUACUGUCUACUGGAGUUUGAAGCCCUCAGGCUUUAACUCACAAGCAGUCACCAAGGAUGACAUCAGUCCCUUUAACGGCUCUGUUGUAUUUUUAUCUGGUCAAAGUGACACAACAAUCAACAUUACUGUCAAAGGCGAUGGCAUACCAGAAAUGAAUGAAACUGUAACACUUUCUCUAGACAGGUAAUAAUCCACCUAGGUACUGUUUAGUAGCCUUUAUAUGUUUGAGUUCUCUUAAAUAAUUUUCUUUUUGUUCUAAUUGUUUUCUCUAUAUGAAAUUUAAAAAAUCAAAUAGUGUUAUGCUGACUUUUGUUAUUUAUUGAUGGCUUCUGGUUAGUCUAUGAAUGUUAUAUCUUUCAGUAAACUUUUGCCUUGCUAUUUGUCAUGAAGGAGCAUUAGAGAAUUUAUGGGGAGUAUUAGAUAUAUUUGAAGCAUGGUCAGUACACUUCAAUAUUUUAAAAAGGCAGGAAAACAUCCAAAAUGGUUUCAUUUUCGACAGAGGAGAGGAUCAGAGCUUUCUUGGUUAAAAAGAAAGCAUUAAUCUUCAUUAUUUUUGCGUUGAAUUUAAAGACUAAGGCCUAUUUUUUAGACAGCCAAAAAUUACAUAAAUUUGAAGGGUACUUUUCAGUUAUACAAGAAGUUACUUAGAAUUUAUUGGAGACAAUGUACUUUAUGUUACUAUCACAAUCUCUGAAGAGAGUUUUCCCCCAAUAAUUUAGAAAAUCAUUUUUUAAAAUAAAAAACUGUGUUUAAUUGAUGUUAAUGAUUUUUAAAAAUCAAAACCAAACUCAUCUCGUGUGGACCUCAUUGUAUUGAUACUGAUACAGAUUAGAGGAGGUUACUGUGAGGUGAAGAUGUUGCAGACUUCAUAUUUAGAAAGAGUAAAAUUCAUGGGUAAAUGAGCUGUUUUGUACUAUAUUCUUCCAGUAUUAAGUGAUUAAAAAUUACUUUAUAUAAUUGUUGGACCUUUCUAUAUCCUAUUACCAGUCUUUAUUAGGUUUUAUUUCUAUGAAGGUGUUUUGUCUGAACACAUUUUAAAACCCUGAUGAGUAGUUGUUCUUUUAUUUUUAUGUGAAGAAAAAUAUAGACUGCACAGAACAAAUCUAUUGGAUGACCACGAUUUAUUUUGUUCUCAGAACCACAUUAUGUUUACUUUCUCCUUUCCAUGAAAAGUAAAACAAAAACAAAACAACAGAAAAACCAAAAAAUGAAAACCAAAUAUCAUGCACACACAGUUCAAAUGACAUGGGCCUAGUAUACUUUUUAUA
rnacentral:lncRNA from 1 species